rnacentral:rRNA from 1 species
GUCCUGGCAGUAAACGGUGCACGUUUGGUGUGGGAGGAUUCGACCCCUUCCGUGCCGGAGCUAACGCGUUAAACGUGCCGCCUGGGAAGUACGGUCGCAAGAUUAAAACUCAAAGAAAUUGACGGGGCCCGCACAAGCGGUGGAGUAUGUGGCUUAAUUCGAUGCAACGCGAAGAACCUUACCAGGGUUUGACAUGCAUUGUGUCGGGGAUGAAAGUCCCCUAGCCGUAGCAAUACGGCGCUUUGCACAGGUGCUGCAUGGCUGUCGU